UGCAGGCAUGAAUGGGACAGCUAUUGAAAAUUUCAUCUGUGUUAUUUAUAAUGUUUCCUUCAUGAAUUGCACUUGGCAUGUAGGCAGGACUGUUCCAGCAGAUACCCAAUAUUUUCUGUACUGGAAGAGCUCCAGGCGGAUCCUGAGAAAAGCACCAAAGAUACAUCUAAAACAAAAAACGACAUCAGAGGAAGAUCAUACAUAUUUCAAAACUUCAAUGCAGAAAAAAGAUACAUUGUCAAAAUCAGAGCAACUGACAGUGGUUGUUUAGUGAGCACAAACUGGGGGGAAUGGAGUACGCCUGUUGAGUUUGGUAAGAAUGAAAAUCAU
rnacentral:lncRNA from 1 species